UCCGAGUCGUGACUCCGGCUCGGAGGGCGAAACUUUUUGGAGUUCAACGUGGGGAAAGCAAACUUUUCGUGCGCCGCAGAGCUCGAGAGCGUUUGUCAUCCGACACAGCAGUGCGGCAGGGGCCAGGUCGCGGCAUGCGGAAAUGAACUCCACAUAGCACGGUUCAACUCGGCGGAACCGAGCGGCAGCCAGGAAACUGUGACGGCCCCCUGUGCUAACAUCCACUCGGAGCACCUGUGUGGCCGCACCUUGAUUACAACACGAAACCAUCCUCUGCCGCAGACCCCACAGGAAAUUGCCCCAUUGUCCUUGGGAGAGGAAGUGGCCUGGAGCAGACCACUAGCUCGGUGGAUUGAUGAGGCUGUGGUAAAUUAUUCAUCAUCUCCUGGAACUGUAAGACAUGCACAAGAGAUGGUAGUGUUGGCUGUCCACUGGGGAACGUUUUGGAACGACAGACAGUAGAGCUGCAUCGAACCACCUGUACCAGGAGAGUAUAUUUUUGCGGCUGUGGGACUUAGGUAAGUGUAAAAGUCAAGCAAGAACCAAAAAUAGAACAAAAGGCCCUGUUUUUAAUCUGUCCUGGUUACGUCUAAGAAUCACAGGAUGUAACAAACAUGUUUCAAGCUGAUCUUGAAACAGUAGUUAUAAUAAUAAUAAUAUCCACUUGAGGUUCACAUGCUCACUUGUCCUGGAGCUUUUAACCAUAACACCUACGCUUUGAUUAUGUAUAGUAGAUUGAUUAUGAGUUGGAGUAAGUCAAAAGUUGGAACCUGAUGGUCAGAGUAAAAUGUUUGUUCAUUCAGACUUUUACCACUAGAGGUAGACAGAGACUCACACAAGAGGCUUGUCUGUCUGCCAGAUCACGAUCGUGUGUGUGUGUGUGUGUGUGUGUGUGUGUGUGUGUGUGUGUGUGUGUGUGUGUGUGUGUGUGUGUGUUUGAGGGUCCAUAGUAUAUGCAAAUUGUCGGACAAUUUUUGUGCAGGGCUCUGGGAUUAAAAUAGUUCAGCAUUUGCUCCAGUCACACGUGGGAGUCCUCGCUAGUUUGAGCAGAUCCAGAUAAAGUAGGUGCGUAGCUAAAAUAAGUGCAGAUGUUCUUGUAAUGGCAACCAUGACUAUCACACAGAUGUCAAGCUUGUACUCUGCUGCUAACAGAAGCGGUUGCUGGUUAAGAUAUGUGGGUGAAUCAUCAACUUCUGUGAGACUAAUUGCAUCUGCCAUAUGAUAUUGACACUUUGUUUAUUUAUUAUUAUUAGCAGAUAAUAGUAUUUAGGAUUUAGGGAUGAAACCGUUCGUCAUCUGUCAUGUAUUCUGUGCAGACUGGAUCUGUGUGAUCUGUGUCAGAUGGGUCAACCAAAAAUAUCCACAGGGUGUGAUGUGAUUUCUCUGGCUUAAAAUACAUUGCAUGUGACCAUGUGCUGGUAUUGAGCCUUGCCCACUUUGCACAUGAGGACUUAUUACCCUCUCAUACAUUACAUACAGAAGAAUGAUAUGUCGAGCAAGUUGGCAAGUUGGCUGACAAUCUCAGAGGUGCAUAUUCUACUGUAACAAAAACAACAACAAAAAUGGCUAUCAUCAAUUGUUUUGACUUUUUUAAAUAAAGUCUGCUGAUGUCUGUAUUUCGGUCCGGAACUACAUGUCCCAUGAUGCCUCGCGCGCGAGAUGACCGAAUGGAACACGCAGCGGAGCAGCCGUUGUGACAGCUGAGCUUGGGGUUUGCCGGGGGAGAGUACUGCGACCUUCGAGUGAAAUAAACAUGGGAAAUCCAAACCUGCCAUCAAGUUACUGUAAUCUCACAGUAAAGUGCAAAGGCUCGAGAAUCCAAAUAAUGUCAAGGAAACACUCAGGACAGGACAGAAGCCGGCCGGUGAAGCAGCACUAGUGGCAGAGACUGUUUAAUUUGAUGGGGACACACUAAACAAGGCAGGACCCCUCCCACAAAGAUCAUCACAUGCAAAGAUAACUCCUCCAGCAGCACGUCAUAUUCUCGGCCAGUCAGAGUCCGAUGCCCUGGAAGUCUGUGUCUUCUCCCUGAGCCACCAGGGGGCCUCAGUCCCACAGUGGCAAACCUAGCGUUGAGUUUGUCUUCACCCUGAACCCUCCAGCCCCAGUCAAGCUGUCCCACCCUGCCUCCCCUCCAUCCUCUCCUUCUCCUCACUCCUGGCUCCCACAGGCCCACCUG